rnacentral:lncRNA from 1 species
CAGAACUUCUAUUGUGUAGAUUUGUAACUCGUUUAUGAAUUUCAUUCUGAAUGUUGUGAGCUCAAUGCGUAAUCAAAAUAGUCUUUGGUUUUAAGUUUAAGUUUUCAUAAUCAGUUCAUGAAUACAUAUCUCACUCUAGUCCUCUUCAGUAUUCUAGUAUCCUGUAACUCGGUAGGUGUCACGACCCAACUUUCCCUCUGUUUGGAUUCGUG